rnacentral:rRNA from 1 species
GACGAACGCUGGCGGCGUGCUUAACACAUGCAAGUCGAACGGAAAGUCCCUGCUGUUGUGGGGUGCUCGAGUGGCGAACGGGUGAGUAACACGUGAGUAACCUGCCCUUGACUUUGGGAUAACUUCAGGAAACUGGGGCUAAUACCGGAUAGGAGCUCCUGCUGCAUGGUGUGGGUUGGAAAGUUUCGGCGGUUGGGGAUGGACUCGCGGCUUAUCAGCUUGUUGGUGGGGUAGUGGCUUACCAAGGCUUUGACGGGUAGCCGGCCUGAGAGGGUGACCGGCAACAUUGGGACUGAGAUACGGCCCAGACUCCUACGGGAGGCAGCAGUGGGGAAUAUUGCACAAUGGGCGGAAGCCUGAUGCAGCAACGCCGCGUGCGGGAUGACGGCCUUCGGGUUGUAAACCGCUUUCGCCUGUGACGAAGCGUGAGUGACGGUAAUGGGUAAAGAAGCACCGGCUAACUACGUG